GGAAGAUCAAUUAAAAGCUUCCCAACGAGCUGCUAAAAUGAAGAACCUUCUUUUAAUCUCCUUGAGUAUUUUCGUAUUGCUGUGUUGAUGCACGUCCAGGUUCAAGUAUAGAUUUGUACGAUGUUCUUGCGUGUACUAAACAAAUGAGCACAGAAACUUUGGCAAAGAAGCAGGUUCUGUCGACGUAUGUUUUCGCGCCACAUAAAGCGGAAGAUUUAGCGGAAGAACGCAAAAAGGACAUGGCACGUUGUCUCAAGGAAAAGCAGAAAAAAAAGUCUGGUUGAGGAAAAAUUCGUGGAAAGUCAAUCAUAACGCGUCCAAUUAUAAGAGUUGGUGUCCUACAACGUGUAGAAGUUUGUUUAUGCGUUGUAAUGCGAUUUGUGAGCAGUAGGCAAAGUUGAUUUUUUUUUGUGAAAUUCAGCAAUUUGAUGCAUAAAAAUGGUCAUAUCUCUAGUUUUAUAACAUCUACAAAAAUUUCGUGACUAGUUUUGGAAAGGUCUUGAAAUAAGCUAUAAUUUGACAUAUAUCUAAUGAUUUUCAAGGUCACCUCUAGAACACAAAAUGGCGGAUUUUUGUUUCACAAAAAAAGUUUUUCGCAUUUUUCGUCCUGAAGGAAUGGUUCUAGAGAUUUCUGUUGUUGUAGAAAGUUGUAGAUAAUUGCAAAACCUUUAAUUUGAUACCAAGUUGAGCAAAAUCGGACAAGCAGUUCAGGAGAUAUGGCUCUUAGAACUUUUCAAAUUCAAGAAUUUUUCAAAUGGCCAUAUCUUCUAAACGGCGACAUAGAUUUUCUUCAUUUUUGGACUGGAGCAAGAUUAUUAGUCCUUCUACAACAUAUCAAAAUUUAAAAGAUUUGCCUAAUGGGGAUUCGGAGAUAUUGCCCGUAAAAGUUAGGCAAUUUUUGUUUUUGAUUUUAGCGCCUCUUGCGGAUGUUUUUGGAAAUUGAAAUGUUCUAGACAGUUGUAGGACUUCUCAAUACCUUUCAUUUGAUAGUAAAAUGGUCAAAAUCGGUCAAGCCGUUCUCGAGAUAUAUCAAAAAAACACUUUUUGCUUCAGGCCGCCAUAUUUGUUAAACCGCGUGACCGAUUUUCAAAUAUGAAUUGUUGAUGAAAACGUCUCACUAAGCCCUACAACAUACUAAAAUUUCACAUCUCUAGCUACAAGGGAACUGGUUGACGGUGUUUCAAAAUGGUAGACGGCGGCCAUUUUGAAUUUUGAAAAUGCGAAAAAAUGAAAUUUUACACCCACAUUUCUAUAGAAAACUUCAAACCGGAAGUCUCUAAGCCGGCAGGCCGGAUCACUUUUUUUUCCACCACCAUUUUCGUAAUGUGGGUUGUCUAAAACGUGCUCAUACCAAGUUUGAGCCCGAUCUGAGGAGGUCGGUUUUUCCGACGACUACAAUACUCGGUGUUGGCCACGAAGUGGAACACCAACUAAUUAAGGAAAUAUUUUCAAAUAUUGCAAAAGAAAAUAUUUCAAAGGAAUGAGAAGCAAUUUCUAAAUAAAUAAAUCAAUUUAAAGAGA